CACGUCAGAGCGCUUUGCUGACGUGGCAACAAAUCGCCCCCUCGUGGACGCGAUUUGUUGCGUCAGCAAAGCAUUCUGACGUGG
rfam:Gossypium hirsutum cultivar TM-1 chromosome 9, whole genome shotgun sequence